GUCUCAAUGGUGUAGUCGGUUAUCACGUACGCCUCACACGCGUAAGGUCUCCAGUUCGAUCCUGGAUUGAGACA
rnacentral:tRNA from 4 species